UACAGAGGUCCCAAGCGUUGUUCGGAUUUACUGGGCGUAAAGCGUGCGCAGGCGGUCUGUUAAGUCCGAUGUGAAAUCCCCGGGCUUAACCUGGGAACUGCAUUGGUGACUGGCAGGCUUUGAGUGUGGCAGAGGGAGGUAGAAUUCCACGUGUAGCAGUGAAAUGCGUAGAGAUGUGGAGGAAUACCGAUGGCGAAGGCAGCCUCCUGGGCCAACACUGACGCUCAUGCACGAAAGCGUGGGGAGCAAACAGG
rnacentral:rRNA from 1 species